rnacentral:SRP_RNA from 22 species
UGUUGGUUCUCCCGCAACGCUAACUUGUUAACUCGGUCAGGUCCGGAAGGAAGCAGCCAUGGCAGGUGUCGCGUGUGCCGGGAUGUCGCUGGCAAGG